GUUCGUAUGUACAUGUUUGAUUCACUAAAACAAGUCAUCGACAACGCGGAAACAAACUUGCAAGAUCAUCUGUUCAGUGAAAAAAAUUAGUUUCCACACUCCAUUGUUUUUUAGAACAACCUGAAACUGUAAAUUGAUUCACGGAAGUGUUUGUGGAACAGGUAUUGUCCGUGCACCAAUUUCAAUAGCUGCUCUCCAAGCAGAUUCUCAUUUGCAGCGGGGAUUUGCAGCAGAAUAAUCAAAAAGCUUGGUAGAAAUCAUGGGCUUGGUGACGAUUCUGUCCCUAGUUAUGUUUGCCUGUAUGUGCAUGAGUGAACAUAGAAUCAUGGCGGAUAUGGGACCAUACAAGGAGGAAACGGAUGAAUAUUACGCUUACUCAACGGCCGACAAUGCCGUAAGUGACGUCACUGAUGAUGAUUACGAAGUCAUCGACUACGAUGACGGCAAGGACGAUUCGGAAGGCAAGCCGAUUUGUCGUAAGGGGCAGUGCCGGUUGUGUCACGUAUUCAACCG